GAUGAAGAACGUAGCGAAAUGCGAUAAGUAAUGUGAAUUGCAGAAUUCAGUGAAUCAUCGAAUCUUUGAACGCACCUUGCGCCCUUUGGCCAUUCCGAAGGGCAUGCCUGUUUGAGUAUCAUGAACACCUCAACUCUUCAUGGUUUUCCGUGAUGAGCUUGGACUUUGGGGGUCUUGCUGGCCUAUGGUCAGCUCCUCUAAAAUAAAUCAGCUUGCCAGUGUUUGGUGGGUAUCACAGGUGUGAUAACUAUCUACGCUUGUGGUUUUCCACCAGGUAACCUUCAGCAGUGGAGGUUCGCUGGAGCUCACAGAUGUGUCUCUCCUCAGUGAGGACAGCUCUUUGAAUGUUUGAUCUCAAAUCAGGUAGGACUACCCGCUGAACUUAAGCAUAUAAAUAAGCGGAGGA
rnacentral:misc_RNA from 1 species